rnacentral:lncRNA from 1 species
CCAGAAGCAGAAGCUGUGAUGCUUCCUGUACAGCCUACAGAACCGUGAACCAAUUAAACCUCUUUUCUUUAUAAAUUAGUCAGUCUUAGGCAUUUCUUUAUAGUAAUGCGAGAAUGGACUAAUACAGUGUCCCUAACACAGACAUCUUCUGGGGUUUCAUCUGAAAUCUCUCCUGCAGGAGUCCAGGGAACACAGAAGCCAGGCAAUUUCCAUGCCAAGGAUUCUGCGACCAGAGCUUAUACUUCGUGGUCAACAUGUAUAAGCUUGGGGAGAGAGUGGAGUGAUGCAGGUCUUGCCAAUAAAUAAAAGGAGGAAGAUUAAAGGAGAGAAGAUUUAAAGAGUGUGUGAAGAGCAAUUCAAAGUCUAGCACUGUUUCUGGAAAACAAUUUCAAGUUCAAGCCCAGUGAGGCCACUGCCAUGCACAGAAGACAGACAGCACCAUCAGACUGCAUAGUGUUAAAUGAUCGAUUUUUGGACUAUUCAAGCUUUUUAUAUCCAUUAACUCCAAUUAAUUGGAUGGACUUAUCUUCCUUGGUGACUUGGUUUAUCGUGUGAGCCAUUCUGGCAGAAGUUAGACUUCAUGUAACCCCAUAAUGAAUUCCUGUCUAGUAGAUCACUCUAAUAGGCAAAACAUAUCGCAGCUACCCUCUGCCGGCUUCAGAGACUGGGGUCACUAUCAAACUGGUCCCUGGCCCACCUGCUUAAAUGCUGUGGCUCCUAACCACUCUUUGUGACUUUGCUGCAGCUACAGAUAUCAAGAACUCCAGUGGGCCAUGGUACUUCUUGGUCCAUGGCCGAGGGAUUAUGCAAAAGCUACAUCCAUGCAGGAGAUUUCCUUCAUAUUUGGAUAGUUUCAAAGAUAAGAGCAUCUUAUAAUAAAGGGGAAAGAAACUUCAGAAUGUCACAGGCAAAGUCUUAGGAAGUGAAGAUAUAAAGCCAAAAUAGGAGUAAAAUGUUCGUACUUGCCAUGAAGUUAAUUAACAUUCUUACUUGGAAAAAGUCAAGGUCAAACAUAAUUCAUCAAACAUAAUUCAGAGUUACUUGGCUUUAACGGAAGUGAUUCCUCAAGUCUCCCUUCAGGUUUUAAGACUUAUUAUGGAAAGCAUAAUAAAGUGUCCUACGUUUAUACAUCUGCUGAACCAUGUUAUGAAAUCCAGUACACUGUAGGCCCUGGGAUGGGGCAAGGAGCCAUUGUCCCUCUUUGCAGGUGAGAAACUGCAUCUCUGAGGAGCCAGUCACUUAUCCAAAGUGCAUCCUGCUUGGUGUUUCUAGCUGUUACCGUCUUCUGGCUGAGGACCAAUGCAAAACCCCAGUGGUGCCUCUUGUCAAGGCUAGCUGGUGCUCAUGCAGGUAUGACUUAGGUUUUGCAAUGAUGAAGCCAAAGCGCCUUGGAAGCAUUUUCCCUGCCCCGCUAACUAACUUCAUGCCAACUAGUCUGAAGGGUUCUACUCCACAGUUUCCAACAGUGCUUCUUAAGAUUGGAAAACAAAUGUACGGUAGAUGUUACUGCUUAGCUAUUGUCCUUUUAGACCUGUGCACUUUUUAAACCUCAUUUCAGUCUCUCACAUUGCAAAGAAGCUAGGGCAGGGCAAACACAAUAUUAGCUGAGGGGUCAGUAGACUCGAGGCUCAGUCCCGGCUCUUCCACUUGUUGGCAUGGUCUUCACCCCUCCAGACUAGCCUUUGCAUAGGAGUAAGACCUGCCUAUCCUAGCCUUUGCAUGGGAGUAAGGCCUGCCCAUCUCACAGGGACGUAAAGAAAUGAAAUAGCAAGAAGGGUGCAUUACAAAUUGCCAAGCAUUAGAAGUGUCAAAUACUGGAGAGCAACAAACAAAAAGGGAAAGAAUCAGAAACAGAAAGAGAGCAGGUGUGUGUGGUGGGGGAGCACUGCCUUCAGAAUUAAAACUAUGUUACAAGUUGGCUUCAUGCAAAAGCUCAGAAGAAGCUGUGUCCAGUCUUCUGAGGACAAAAUGAGAAUAAAUAUCAAACACAUAUGCCUUUCCCUGUGUUUUUCCUCUUUAAAAUAUACGGGUAACAAAAUUGACCCAGCUCUUAGAACAGGAGAAAGGAAGAGAAACAGAGCAGUUCUAAGAAAAGAUGAAGCAAGCAAAAUACCCCUCAUGUGUGAGUUCAGAACACUUCAAAGAUUGGAAUACAUGACAUUUUGCAAUGGUUGCAAGUGGCAUUCCUUGCAAAGUCCUGUGAAGUGGGGCUUGCUGCCUCCCCACUGUAGGAAUGUAGGUUCACAGUCAUGAGGGCCAUAUAGCAUGCUCCGAUGCCAACCAGUGCCAACAGGGCAAAGAGGAGGUAGUUCACUCUCUUCCUCUCAAGCUCUCACUCCCACUCAUUUAGAUUCAUGCUACUUUCAUUUUCAUAGUGCUUUAAUGAAUGGGCCUCACUCUGGCUGGCUCACAAGGUCUUGCUAUUCAAAG